GAUGAACGCUGGCGGCGUGCCUAAUACAUGCAAGUCGAGCGAACAGACGAGGAGCUUGCUCCUCUGACGUUAGCGGCGGACGGGUGAGUAACACGUGGAUAACCUACCUAUAAGACUGGGAUAACUUCGGGAAACCGGAGCUAAUACCGGAUAAUAUAUUGAACCGCAUGGUUCAAUAGUGAAAGACGGUUUUGCUGUCACUUAUAGAUGGAUCCGCGCCGCAUUAGCUUGUUGGUAAGGUAACGGCUUACCAAGGCAACGAUGCGUAGCCGACCUGAGAGGGUGAUCGGCCACACUGGAACUGAGACACGGUCCAGACUCCUACGGGAGGCAGCAGUAGGGAAUCUUCCGCAAUGGGCGAAAGCCUGACGGAGCAACGCCGCGUGAGUGUUGAAGGUCUUCGGAUCGUAAAACUCUGUUAUUAGGGAAGAACAAAUGUGUAAGUAACUAUGCACGUCUUGACGGUACCUAAUCAGAAAGCCACGGCUAACUACGUG
rnacentral:rRNA from 1 species